GCUUCUUAGAGUGUUAUAACCUAUUUUUCAGGUUCGGUUUUCCUGCAAGGGUCUUGUAGCUGCAUGCUUCUGGUCUUUUUGGACUCCUUCAGUGUGUACUUCUCUGCAGCUGGUGUUUUUGCUGCCGUUCUGUCGUUUGUAGGCUCUUGGUCUUCUUUCCUGGUCAUUGUUUUGAUGGUUUCUUGGGUUGAUGCCUGUGAUGUUGCCAUGAUUGGCGUUAUUAUUUUGGCCUGGUCCCAUUCUAUUUGUGUGUCAUUGUUGUAUGCUUCUUUGGCUGGGGCUGUUGUUGUUCUGCCUGCCG
rnacentral:lncRNA from 1 species